CUCCUGGAUGGGUUGGGCUUGUAACAAGACCUCAGGAAGGCAGAUCUUCAUAUUUGGACAGUACACAUUCACUCCAGGAAUUUUUUUGUCGUAGCUUUUAGGAGGUAGAUCAGGAUGCCAUUAUACAAAUGCAGAGUAAAAGGUAGUUCCUGUAUUGUGUGGGCUGAAAACUCUCAGCCCCACUGUCCUGAGAGAUGAGCUUUCUUAAAUGAGAGGUGUGCUUGUGGUACUUGGAUGGUACAGAUUUGCUGAAAGUUGCAGCCUUUCUCAGCACGUGUGACAAAUGCUCUGCUGCAUUUUGGGUGCCCAGGCAUAACAAGUAGUGCUCCGCAUGCACCGGUGCACCCAUGAGCAGGUUACUUUAAAUAAUUUUAAACUAGAGGAUUUGUUGCAUUUUCAGCAAAUUUUAAAACAUUUUUAGGUUUUACAGAGAUUUUAAUCUUUAAAAAGAGCAGAUCUAGAAACAAACCAUGCGAGUUUAACAAAAGGAACGUGUAAAAACUAGAUCUGAAUGUGAGAACUUUAGAACUGUUUCAGAAAAACGAAGCAUACUACCUUGAUGUAACAUUUAUUUCUUAACCUUGUUGAGCUGGUUUUGUUCAGCUUAAUUUUACUGUUUAAAGGCAUUAUCUAUUGGUUAUACCAGUGGGUACAUGAUUGAAUUUAGGGAACAGGGUUGACACAGCAGGUGCUACUCCUGCGUAUUUUUUCUUAAAUAUUUCCCAACUGUGUUUUAUUUUCAUUAUUUCUUUUCAAUAUAUAACUUUUAUAACAAAAUAUUAGCUUUGAUCUUGUAGUUUAAAAUCACAGGGAACUGGGGUAAUCUUUUACUGAGCUGGAUCUUAGAGAAAAAUGAAUAUUUAAAUUUUGAAGUUUGCACAUUUCAUCUUCGUCCUGACAUGAGUGCUUGUAACAAGAAUAAGAAAAGCCAAAAAACAAAACCCAAACAAAAAGAAAGCCAACUACCUUUACCCGUAUGUGGAAUUACGAGGCUUACAAAUUUCGUUACUGUGCCCCCCUUCGGCCUCCCCAAUCCAGUGUCCUCUGACUGCCUACGAUCUGGUGUCACCUGGUCCAUUGUAACUCGAUAAUUAAAGGAGAAAAAGCACUUACGUUUCACAGAAGCCGUUAUGUUUGUAGUAAUGGGUCAUUGCCUAAUAAUGAGCUCCAUCACUGUACUCAGAAUGAAGAAUAAUGCAUGUUAAUUUUCUUGUAUUAAAGAUGCCGUGAUUUGUAAAAAGUCUGUAUUUUGCGGAAUGUCUGGAUUAAGAAGCAUUACCAAUAGGAAUGGAUCGAUAGUUGAAACAUGAUUUCUUUUGUUUGUUUUAUAUAUAGAUAUAUGAAUUGCAUCCAUGUUCAGAGACAAUUUUUUAAAUAGAUGUAAAGCUUACUUAAAUAGCUUUUUCUUUUAAAGUGUCUCCGCAUUUUAGUUUCUUCUUUCAGAGGCUGGUCUUAGACCGAGUCACGCGCCCAUUAAUCAUCCCGCUAUUUUUUGAGGAGUUAGAGGAAUAAUUUGUAAAUAUUUAUUUAGAUCUUUGAUAUUUAUUGAAAGCAAUUACAUGAUGGAACGAUGGAAGCUGAAGAAUCAGGAGGAAAGCCUUUUAAAAAGUUUUCUCUAGGAUUUGUCAGGGUCAUUGUAAAGAUGAAAAUACAACUAAGACUUCUGUGAACUGCCAUUGGAAUCCUGAUCUUUUUUUACGUACAGCGGUGAUAGAAGUUAAUUGACUUUGAUACUGCCUAAGAGCACCCAACACCUUGUGGGAAUUGAGCGGUAAGCGGAUGGGAGAAGGUAGUGCGUAGACGGUAACUUGUAUUACCACAGCUACAUUAUUGCCUGAUUAACGUGUAAUUAACUUUUGUCGCCUCUGUGUUGUGACUGUAAAACACUUCACAACUAAAAAUCAAUCCUGUUCAAUUACUUUACGAGUUCCAAAACUUCGAUCCACCCCUAUGAAAGCAAGUUAUUGUGGAAAUAUUUUUGGUGUAAAAUCAUUCCAGAAUAUGUAAUAUUUAACUGAUAGCUGCAUGAAAGUAAGAUUCGUGUUACUUUGGCUUUUUUGUCUCUGUUGACACGGUUGCACAUUUCCAAGUUACUACAGCGUGAAAACUGUGUGUUUUAAAGAAAAAAACAAAACAAAAAAAAAAAGAUUGUGGCCUGGUUUUGUAUAAGUUUUAGGUAAAAUUACAAUUGAUUGUUUUAGGAAUCAUGAUUUAAAAUUAAUUUUUCUGCAAAUCAUAAAGCUAUAUUAAAGUGUUGAGCUUAGCCACUAUGCACAUUGUAAUUAUUCAUUGUGGCUGUCCAGUUUAUGAUGCAUUCUGGCAUUUUGUAAGCUGCUCUGACUAGCAAUAUAUAGAGUCAUUUAAUGUGUUAACAUUGGGUAAUAAAUGUAUUUAAAAAAAAAAAAAAAGCAUCUCGCUGAAAAGUGUGUGUGUUAAUUGUGGCCAGUUGCCUCAAGGUGGCCGUGCCCAGGGCUGUAGAUGGGGUGAGCAUGUCUGGACUCCCUGGGACCUGCUGCUGCCUGACGGGGGGUGAGCCAUGCAAGGAUCUGGGCAAUGAACCAUGGCUCUCGGC
rnacentral:lncRNA from 1 species